CGAACGGGAUCCUUCGGGAUUUAGUGGCGGACGGGUGAGUAACGCGUGAGAAUCUGCCCUUAGGCUGGGGACAACAGUUGGAAACGACUGCUAAUACCCAAUGUGCCGAGAGGUGAAAGGUUAACUGCCUGGGGAUGAGCUCGCGUCUGAUUAGCUAGUUGGAGUGGUAACGGCACACCAAGGCGACGAUCAGUAGCUGGUCUGAGAGGAUGAUCAGCCACACUGGGACUGAGACACGGCCCAGACUCCUACGGGAGGCAGCAGUGGGGAAUUUUCCGCAAUGGGCGAAAGCCUGACGGAGCAAGACCGCGUGAGGGAGGAAGGCCUAUUGGUUGUAAACCUCUUUUGAUAGGGAAGAACACAAUGACGGUACCUAUCGAAUCAGCAUCGGCUAACUCCGUGCCAGCAGCCGCGGUAAUACGGAGGAUGCAAGCGUUAUCCGGAUUUAUUGGGCGUAAAGCGUCCGUAGGUGGCAAACCAAGUCAGUUGUUAAAGCGUAGAGCUUAACUCUAUAAGGGCAAUUGAAACUGGUUAGCUAGAGUGCGAUAGGGGCAAGGGGAAUUCCCAGUGUAGCGGUGAAAUGCGUAGAUAUUGGGAAGAACAUCGGUGGCGAAGGCGCCUUGCUGGGUCUGCACUGACACUGAGGGACGAAAGCUAGGGGAGCGAAAGGGAUUAGAUACCCCUGUAGUCCUAGCCGUAAACGAUGGAUACUAGGCGUUGUCCGUAUCGACCCGAGCCGUGCCGAAG
rnacentral:rRNA from 1 species